CUGUAUGUCCCCACCCCCAUCUGUCUGUCCCCAUACACCCCUGUAUGUCCCCACCCCCCAUCUGUCUGUCCCAUACACCUUUCUAUGGAGCUAUCCAUCCCCAUAUACCCCGUCUGACUUCCUGUCUGUCCCCAUACACUGUCUCUUCCCUGCCGUCCCCACGGCCUGGGGACUGGCGCUAGGCCCAUGCAGACGGGCCUCUUUUCCCUGUGCACUGGCCAUGCAGCUGUGCUAGGCUGGUGGCAGGACCCUCGGCGCCCGGCGGGGCCCCGGUCGGGCACCAAGCCCUGCGCAGCUGAGGCUACCCUGCUGGAUAGUCCUGUCUUUUGUUUCAGCAAGACCAGACUAACACGGCUGCAUCCCUUUCACCCUUCUGGGCUGGAGUUUGCCAGACGCUGGGGAGAGGCAGGGCCCCCUCUGCCAGCCCGGCCCCUCCCGGGAAGGCAGCGCCAGGUCCCCCAUGGAGUGGCAUGGUGGGCUGUCCUGCGCCAAUUGCCAGCCUCCAUCGCUCCUGCCCACCUCCCCUUGCUUGCGCAGAGACUGGGUAUCAGCCCUGCCCGGUGGGGCCUGGGGACCCCCCUUCUCCUCGUCCUCGCUCCCCGUCGGAUGCUCCUGCUUUUUAUUAAAGGUUCAGUAAACCCG